AACGAACGCUGGCGGCAUGCCUAACACAUGCAAGUCGAACGAGACCUUCGGGUCUAGUGGCGCACGGGUGCGUAACGCGUGGGAACCUGCCCUUAGGUUCGGAAUAACUCCCCGAAAGGGGUGCUAAUACCGGAUAAUGUCUUCGGACCAAAGAUUUAUCGCCUUUGGAUGGGCCCGCGUUGGAUUAGCUAGUUGGUAGGGUAAAAGCCUACCAAGGCGACGAUCCAUAGCUGGUCUGAGAGGAUGAUCAGCCACACUGGGACUGAGACACGGCCCAGACUCCUACGGGAGGCAGCAGUGGGGAAUAUUAGACAAUGGGCGAAAGACUGAUCCAGCAAUGCCGCGUGAGUGAUGAAGGCCUUAGGGUUGUAAAGCUCUUUUACCCGGGAUGAUAAUGACAGUACCGGGAGAAUAAGCUCCGGCUAACUCCGUG
rnacentral:rRNA from 1 species